rnacentral:rRNA from 1 species
UACGUAGGAGCGAGCGUUGUUCGGAGUUACUGGGCGUAAAGGGUGCGUAGGCGGCUUCUUAAGUCUGGUGUGAAAUCUCCCGGCUCAACUGGGAGGUGCACCGGAUACUGAGGGGCUAGAGUGUGGGAGAGGAAAGUGGAAUUCCUGGUGUAGCGGUGAAAUGCGUAGAUAUCAGGAGGAACACCGGUGGUGUAAACGGCUUUCUGGACCAUAACUGACGCUGAGGCACGAAAAGCGUGGGUAGCAAACAGG